rnacentral:tRNA from 1 species
GGGCUAUUAGCUCAGUGGUAGAGGGCGAGGUCUCUGGUUCAAGUCCAGGAUGGCCCA